UACGGAGGAUGCAAGCGUUAUCCGGAAUCAUUGGGUUUAAAGGGUCCGUAGGCGGGCCAAUAAGUCAGGGGUGAAAGUCUGCGGCUCAACCGUAGAAUUGCCUUUGAUACUGUUGGUCUUGAAUAUGUAGGAAGUGGCUGGAAUGAGUAGUGUAGCGGUGAAAUGCAUAGAUAUUACUCAGAACACCAAUUGCGAAGGCAGGUCACUACUACAUUAUUGACGCUGAUGGACGAAAGCGUGGGGAGCGAACAGG
rnacentral:rRNA from 1 species